ACGUUUGGAACAGCCUCAAUUUUUCACUUCCCUCUGUGGGGUGAGAAAAUGUAUUUGCAUAUUUGAAACGCUCCCCCUCAGGCAAGCUAUCCUUGUCAGGGCAACUAUGGUAAUGGGAGGGUUCGCACUCUCUCUAAAGGAUCCAACACUAAGAGAUUAAAGAGAAAAUGGACAAAACCUUUCUGCUUUUCCCUUGUGCUCUACCUUGAAGUGCUCCAACACCCUGGGAUGCUACAGGCAAAAAAAAGCUUCUGGAUAUCAGGACAGCGAUCACUCACCUCGGAAUAGACAAAGAUUGUUUCUUCAACAAUCAGGAGGCACAGGACAUUCUCCAAACACCCGACAAGGCCAACAUCCCCGUUAUUUGCAAGAGGAAGAAAUGCAGGUACAGGGAACACAGAGCGGGAUGCCUCGUGAGGACCAACAGAAGGGGAGUGGGAAAGCUGCAAUUACUGUCAAUAUUACUCGCCAACGUGCAGUCAUUGGACAAUAAAUUAGACGAGGUACGAUCACGAAUAUCCUACCAACGGGACAUCAAAAACUGUAAUAUCCUAUGUUUCACGGAAUCGUGGCUGAAUGACGACAUGGAUAUUCAGCUAGCAGGAUAUAAACUGCACUGACAGCAUAGAACAGAACACUCUGGUAAGAUGAAGGGGGGCGGUCUGUGCAUAUUUUUAAACAGCUGGUGCAGGAAAUCUAAGGAAGUCUCUAGAUUUUGCCCGCCUGAAGUACAGUAUAUUGUGAUAAAUUGCAGGCCACACUACUUGCCUAGAGAGUUUUCAGCUAUACUUUUCGUGGCUGUUUAUUUACCACCACAGACAGAUGCUGGCACUAAGACCGCAUUCAGUCAGCUGUAUAUGGAAAUAAGCAAACAGGAAACCACUCACCCAGAGGCGUCGCUCCUAGUGGCCGGAGACUUUAAUUCAGGGACGUCCAAUUUUGUAACUCCACCCAUAACUUUUGGACUUUAUAACAUUCCCAGAAGGCAUGGAUUAUUAUAACCUAAUGAAAAAUGAACCUGGUAAUCUAAAUGAAUUUACUGCGUGCCUAAGACCUAUGGGUUUAACCUUCUGAAUUAAUGAUUAUAUUGAAGAAAGAAGCUGCCUCUUAGUUCCGAGAGUCGAUCCAUUACCCAACAAGAAAAACAUUCAUGUAUUUAGCCCAAUUGUUUUUAUCACUACAGACAGUAGGCUAUUAUACCUCAUUACCUACAUUUCUUUUCAACAUUUGGCUAAAAGGAAACCAUGCCAUAAAUUAAGAAUGAUAUAUUUUUAUUUUCACAAUGCAAUGUGUCACAUUGACAACUCAAAUCGCUUUGAAAGAUCCUUCUGAUAUUAGCCAACAAAUAAAGCUACUAAAACAAUAAGUUCAAAAACAA